GGGGUUGGUGCUGGGUUUGAGGUUGGGGUUGGCAUAUAGGAUUAGAGGUGUGGGAUUGGGAUUUGCAUUGGGCUGUGGGGCUGGAAUGUGGGGUUGGGAUUGAGGUCAGGAUGUGGGAUGUAAGGAAAUGUGCCCUGUUCACAGGUGGGUCGUGUGGUGUUGUGGGGAAGCACUGCAGAUGGAAAGCUGCUGUGUGGAGCCCCACAGGACGAGUUGCAGAGGCCCCUGAAGGAAAAGGAGAAGGGCAUUUGCAGAGGGAAAGGCUGUCCCGCUGGCCUUCGGUGUUGCUGAACGGGAGGGGUGGCCAAUGCUUUCUCUUUCCGCUGACUCACGGAUGGUGGCAAAUGCCUUCUGGGGGUGGUUCCAGCAGUGGGAAGAAAACAACUGGCAGCGGAGGGGUAAACCUCUUUGGGCUGCUGAGCUGUGUGCUGAACCAUAAGGAAGGUGGCUGUAAAGGUGUGCCGUGCAGAUGUCGUGUGCCCAGCAGUCGGGCCGAUGAAGAGCAACAAAUGAAGCGCCAGUCUCUCUCGUCGUGUAGAUCUGAGGAUGACCAAAGCCUGUCGCCCCAAG
ensembl:lncRNA